rnacentral:rRNA from 1 species
UACGGGGGGGGUAAGCGGUUGUUCGGAAUUACUGGGCGUAAAGGGCUCGUAGGCGGCCAACUAAGUCAUACGUGAAAUCCCUCAGCUUAACUGGGGAACUGCGUGUGAUACUGGAUGGCUUGGAUUUGGGAGAGGGAUGCGGAAUUCCAGGUGUAGCGGUGAAAUGCGUAGAUAUCUGGAGGAACACCAGCGGCGAAGGCGGUGCUCUGGGCCGGAACUGACGCUGAGGAGCGAAAGCGUGGGGAGCGAACAGGA